rnacentral:lncRNA from 1 species
UUAUUUUUCUAUUUUUCAAUUAGAUGGGUAAUAUUUAGCAGAAUUUUUAAAAAUUAUGAUAAAAUUAUGCUGAACGUUUUUCUGCACCGUAUAGUUAUUAAUAUGUGCUGUUAGCUGGUUAUUACAUAUAAUAGUCAACACGUCUUAAUAUGAAAUAUCUAGAUAAAAAUAUAUAAAAUUUACCAGAACUAUGUCGACCCAUUUGGAUUUGGCCAUUCGAUCUUUUCAAAAUUUUGAUUUUACUAUCCAACCUUUUAAUUUGAUUGAUUUGAAUCAUUCAACACUAUUUUGACUAUAAACUUUAAGCUAAUUAUCUAUUUUAAUAAAUUUAUAGUUAUAAUAAUUAUAUAAAAUAUACUAGCUAAAUCUACGAAAAUAAACGACGGAUUCAAACUUUUAAGUUAAAGUAUCGUUAACUAACUCGAAUCAAAUAAAUAAAAAAAAUUAUAUAGUAAAAUCAAAAUUUUGAAAAAGUUGAGUGAUCAAAUCCAAAUAGUGCAUAGUUUUAAAUAAAUGUUAUUUAGUACUAAUAAAUCCUAAUUACUCUCAAUAUAUUCUUUAUUAAUUACUAUACAUUUAUUUACUUAAUUUUCUUUAAAAAAUAAAAUUUCGAGCCACAUUAUAAUUUAUUAAUAAAGUACAAUAU